UGGGUUUUCUUUCCUCCCUCCUCCUCCGCUCUCCUCCUCCUCUCGCCCCCACCGGGGUUAGAGAUCAGACAUCUACUCCACAGUCGUCAUCCAUGGCCACGGGUCCGACCCCGAGGAUGCCUCCUCCCUCCCUCCCCUCCUCCAGCGCGUUCCCAAGGACUUCAUUGUCAAGCGCGACGCCCGCCCCUCCCCCUACCCCACCGCCCGCCUCCCCUCCACUCUCCUUUCCUGGAUCUCCAGCGCGGCAGGCCCUGGAGCCGGUCAGUGCUUGACGAUGCCUAAUCUACCUUCCUGAUUCGGUCCACGACGCGCGCGGGAGCCCCGGGGUGUCCGUGUCGAAGACCGUCGUCCGGAGGACUGACGGCAGAGGCGGAGGCGGUUCGGGUCGUCGUUCAUGAGUGGGAUGGUGGAGAACAUAAGGGUGGAAGUUCCAGGGCGAGGAGGGGAGGCUGCAGCAGCCGCAGCGGCAGGCGAGGAGGAAGGCAUCGGUGAGUUACGUCCUUGAUGGUAGCGUCGCCGAGGAGGAUCCUUCCACCAAGUAUGAACUGCUUCACGAGCGCGGAAAAAGGUUCAUAUGGGGCAGUCUAAAAAGCUAGAGAUUUAAGGACCUCAGAGCUUGUUGCUGUGAAAUUCAUAUCAUUGACUGAUUGGUGCUCAGGGAGAAGGAUACGAACAAAUCCGAGGUGAAAUUAAGAUGUUGCAGCAGUGAAGUCAUCCCAAUGUGGUUGGCUACUUUGGAAGCUACCAAGGAGACGAGUACCUUUGGAUGUACUUUAUUAACCAAGUGCAUGUAAAGAGCUGCUGCAUUAAAGGGAUAUUGGAAGUUUGCCGAUGGAACAAGCUGUAAUUUGGUUUGUACGUCAGGAUACUAAGACAUUCGGCUCUUAUCCACCAGCUGUUGGAGAGAAGUAGGAAGAGGAAGAGGUGGAUGAGGAGG